rnacentral:misc_RNA from 1 species
UCACGUCUUACGACGGCAGUUUCACUAGAGUUCCCAGCGUUACCUGAUGGCAACUAGUGAUGGGGGUUGCGCUCGUUGCGGGACUUAACCCAACACCUCACGGCACGAGCUGACGACAGCCAUGCAGCACCUCUAUACAGUCCUCCGAAGAGGGGCCCUCAUCUCUGAGGCUUUCCUGUACAGUUCAAGCCCAGGUAAGGUUCUUCGCGUC